GUGGGGAAUAUUGGACAAUGGGGGGAACCCUGAUCCAGCCAUGCCGCGUGUGUGAAGAAGGCCUUUUGGUUGUAAAGCACUUUAAGCGAGGAGGAGGCUACCGAGAUUAAUACUCUUGGAUAGUGGACGUUACUCGCAGAAUAAGCACCGGCUAACUCUGUGCCAGCAGCCGCGGUAAUACAGAGGGUGCAAGCGUUAAUCGGAUUUACUGGGCGUAAAGCGCGCGUAGGUGGCCAAUUAAGUCAAAUGUGAAAUCCCCGAGCUUAACUUGGGAAGUGCAUUCGAUACUGGUUGGCUAGAGGAUGGGAGAGGAUGGUAGAAUUCCAGGUGUAGCGGUGAAAUGCGUAGAGAUCUGGAGGAAUACCGAUGGCGAAGGCAGCCAUCUGGCCUAAUACUGACACUGAGGUGCGAAAGCAUGGGGAGCAAACAGGAUUAGAAACCCGUGUAGUCC
rnacentral:rRNA from 1 species